AUUAGAGUUUGAUCCUGGCUCAGAACGAACGCUGGCGGCAGGCCUAACACAUGCAAGUCGAGCGCCCCGCAAGGCGAGCGGCGAAAGGGAGAGGAACACGCGGGUACCUACCCUCAGGACCGGGAUAGCUGCGGGAAACUGCAAUUAAUACCGGAUAAUGUCUCCGGACCAAAGGUGUGAUUCCGCCGGAGGAGGGGCCCACGUCCUAUCAGCUAGUUGGAGAGGUAAUGGCUCACCAAGGCUACGACGGGUACGGGGUGUGAGAGCAUGCCCCCGCUCACUGGGACUGAGAUACUGCCCAGACACCUACGGGUGGCUGCAGUCGAGAAUCUUCCGCAAUGGGCGGAAGCCUGACGGAGCGACGCCGCGUGCGGGAUGAAGGCCUUCGGGUUGUAAACCGCUGUCAGUGGGGAGGAAAUUCAUGGGGGUUCUCCCCUGUGUUUGACCGAUCCGCAGAGGAAGCACAGGCUAAGUUCGUGCCAGCAGCCGCGGUAACACGAACUGUGCGAACGUUAUUCGGAAUCACUGGGCUUAAAGAGUUCGUAGGCGGCGCGCUAAGUCGGGUGUGAAAUCCCUCGGCUCAACCGAGGAAUUGCGCCCGAAACUGGCGUGCUUGAGUAAGAUAGAGGUGAGCGGAACUGAUGGUGGAGCGGUGAAAUGCGUUGAUAUCAUCAGGAACACCGGUGGCGAAAGCGGCUCACUGGGUCUUAACUGACGCUGAGGAACGAAAGCUAGGGGAGCGAACGGGAUUAGAUACCCCGGUAGUCCUAGCCGUAAACGAUGAGCACUAGGU
rnacentral:rRNA from 1 species